rnacentral:rRNA from 1 species
CCUACGGGAGGCAGCAGUAAGGAAUAUUGGACAAUGCUCGCAAGAGUGAUCCAGCCAUGCCGCGUGCAGGAAGAAUGCCCUAUGGGUAGUAAACUGCUUUUGAACUAGAGAAAAUCCCAGUACGUGUACUGGGCUGAUAGUAUAGUUAGAAUAAGCAUCGGCUAACUUCGUGCCAGCAGCCGCGGUAAGACGAAGGAUGCAAGCGUUAUCCGGAUUCAUUGGGUUUAAAGGGAGCGUAGGUGGACUGAUAAGUCAGUGGUGAAAUCUCCGAGCUUAACUCGGAAAUUGCCAUUGAUACUGUUGGUCUUGAGUACAGUUGCUGUGGGCGGAAUAUGACAUGUAGUGGUGAAAUACAUAGAGAUGUCAUAGAACACCGAUUGCGAAGGCAGCUCACAAAGCUGUAACUGACACUGAGGCUCGAAAGUGCGGGGAUCAAACAGGAUUAGAUACCCUGGUAGUCCGCACCGUAAACGAUGAUUACUCGCUGCUAGGGGGCAACCUUUAGUGGCUUAGNGAAGNGANAGANACACGNGGAGACGCGCGACGAGACGACGAAGAAGUAGAGGNGNGAGAGNGCGAGGACGACACGAGGGAGGAGG